UCCUUCCUUCUUUUUCCCUCUCCUCCCUUUCUGUACCUCUGCUACCCAGGAAGGAAACCUGUGGUCAAGGUUAUUUUCACCCUGCUCUGUUUUACUUUCAUGAAGAUAAAAAUGAGCCUGGGGUGGUGUCCCAUGCCUGUAAUACCAGCACCAAGGAGGCUGAGGCAGGAGGAUGUGCUGGAGAUUGAACGCAGGGCCUCGUGAGUGCCAGGACAGCGCUCACCACCCGGCUACCUCGCGGCCAUUUUGCUGUGUUAGAAGACAGGACCUCACUAAGUUACCCCGGCUGCAUUGGAACUUCGGAUCCUGCUACCUCAGCCUUCGGAGUUCUGAGGUUACAGGCUUACCCAUGCCCGGCUGUGUGUGGUCUGUCCAGAGAGACACAGAGACUAACUUGCCCUGAUGGUGGCAUCCAGGAAGUAGCCGAACCAGGGCGUCCAUCCCCUCUGCUUGGUAACAGCCACGCCAGCUUGUGGUGCCUCAGUCAGGAGUCCCCGAAAGGCUGAAAUCCGGGUGUGGGCGUGGCUGGGUCCCAGGGGCGGGGCUAUAUUCUGUGUGGGCGGGGCGGUGACCUGAUGGGCGGGGCUGUACCUGUGUGGGUGGGUCUGGGCCCUGCGUGGGGCGGGGCUGUGUCCUUGUAGUCGGGUCUGUGUCCCGCAAGCAGCGAGCCUGUUUUUUGAGGGCGGGGCGGGGCCUGCUGGUCGGGGUUGUCCUGCAAGAGGCGGGGCUGUGUCCUGCACGGGGCGGGGCCGUGCCUUGCAGGCGUGGCCUGGGCUCGCUCUUGGUUUCGGAGGCCUCCACCUCCCCUACAGUGGUACCUUCUGUGGAGCGGCUCCAGGAAGAGCCCUGUUGCUUUUAGCGUUUGCCUGAUUAGGUCAGGCGCAGAUCAUCUCCCUGUCUUAAAGUCAGCUGAUCAAGAAUAGCCCUCCACAUCUACAUCCUGGAAACCUCAGAUAGAAAAACGAGGUGCCUUCUUAAAUCUCUUUGGACAACAGGGGUUGAGAGAGAUGGGGUGUGAGGGUUAGGGAAGGCUCCUGGGGCAUCACAGGGAUCCCCAGGGGAGGCUGGGGCAUCCUGCAAAGAGAGCGGCCCACCGUAAAGCCGGCAGGAGGAGGGCCUGCUGGUGCCAGGAGCCGAGGCGCAGAGAUCGCAGUGAAGACAGGCAUGUGAGCUGCGCACUGUGCAAACACCAGCCUUGGUAUCAAGGCUGACAGCUGGCAAGGCCGCAGCUCUUCUCUCCCUCCACCCCAGCACUUCCUCCCGGCCUGUGUCUCUGUGCCCCGUCUCUGCCACCCUCACGCUUUGCAGGUGAUUGUAGGUGGGCCUCUCCCCGUCCUGGCCCAGGCUCCACGCUUCUUUCGUCAGGUGGGGGCGGGAGUCCAGUCUGGAGCAGCAAAUACUCCUGGAGCUCAGCCGCACCCGGCACCAGCGGGACAAGAGGAAAUAAGGAGCGCAGACUAUGCCAGACUGGAAUCCGGGCCGAAGUUCCUCUAGGGAAAGUGAGGCGCCCUGCCUCACUAUCAUCAGGCUGGGCUCUAGCAACUCGACACAGGGCCUCAUUCCACUUGGAAGGUGGCACGCACCUGUGACCCCAGCACUCUGGGAGGCUGAGGCAAGAGGAUCCCAAGUUCAAGCCCAGCUUUGGCAACCUAGCAACUUAGUGAGACCCUGUCUCAAAAUAAGAAAUAAAAAGGUGUUGGGCGCAGGCGCUCAACACACCCCGCCCGGGACGAUAAGACCACGUCAGCUUCCGCAAUGCGUUACCUCCCUCUCUAAACUAGCCACCCCGUGUGCACCUCGUGCUCACUCCGUAUUCGCCCUGUGCGGACUCUGUGGCAACCCCUGAUUGGCCACAGCUGGAUAUAUUAGCCAGAGCCUGCGUCCCAUUCCCGCCCUGCUUCCUCGUGGCAGCCUGUGAUUGGUCACGGCCGAAUAUAUAAACCAGAGCCCGCGUAAAUAAAGCGGCAGUUCCUGUUACCGCCUGAA